rnacentral:rRNA from 1 species
UGGUGCGAUCAUACCAGCACUAAUGCACUAGAUCCCAUCAGAACUCUGCAGUUAAGCGUGCUCGGGCGAGAUUAGUACUAGGAGGGGUGACCUCUUAGGUAGUCCUCGUGUUGCACCCC